rnacentral:rRNA from 1 species
UACGGAGGAUGCGAGCGUUAUCCGGAUUUAUUGGGUUUAAAGGGUGCGUAGGCGGAUCGUUAAGUCAGUGGUCAAAUUGAGGGGCUCAACCCCUUCCCGCCAUUGAAACUGGCGCUCUUGAGUGGAAGAGAAGUAUGCGGAAUGCGUGGUGUAGCGGUGAAAUGCAUAGAUAUCACGCAGAACCCCGAUUGCGAAGGCAGCAUGCCGGCUUCCGACUGACGCUGAAGCACGAAAGCGUGGGGAUAGAACAGG